GAAGUUCAUCGUUGAUUUCCUUUGGGAUUGAAGUUAGCUUUCUUACUGUACAUAGUUUGGGGCCCGGGUUGGUGAAGGCCUCAGGCUGACUCCAGUUGCAGGAUGACAGAUACCAAAUUAGAGCCCAUGUGCUUGGGGGUGUCAGAGCCGCUCCUCUCCGGGACUUGUGGGGGCCUGGUGUCUGACCUGAGAGGCAGUGGACUGGGUAACAGUGUUCUAGGUCCUGAGUGGUUUGUUUCUUUAAAACUUAGCUGUACCCUUGCAAUGCUUCUGACUACUUAGUCCCCCUUCAGGGUAGGGUCUGACUUUCCCCUUUCACUCCAAGGACCGUGCGCUCUGCUGUCCACCCCUGCCGCCAGCGUGGAAGGGCAGCAGGCCAUGGGGUUGGUCCAUCAGGAGGUGCUGUGGCUUUCUCCCCUCUUCCCUGCUGCUUUACUGUGAGCUGGAAGCAGCCUGUGCUCCUGAGAGGAUGGUGGGGCAUUCAGGGAGGGGCAGAAAGAAGCACUUCCUUGGGCCCGGGAUUUAGCUCAGUGGCACCGCGCCUGCCUCAUAAAUACAAGGUUGUGAGUUCAAUCCCCGGUACCAAGAAAAAAAAAAAAAAAAAGCAUUUCUGUGCCUCUGCCUGUAAUCCCACCAUUCUGGGCUGCUGAAGCAGAAGGAUCACAAGUUUGAGCCCAUCCUAGGCAAUUUAGCAACUUAUCCCCAGAACUGCAAAAUAAAUAAAGGAAAAGCUAGAUAGAUCAUGCUGGGCAUGGAGGCUCAUACCUAUUGUUCCAGAGGCUGAGGCAGAAGGAUCACAAAUUUGAACCCAGGCUGAACAACUUAGUGACUUAGCAAGAUCCUCUGUCAAACUACAAAAAUUAAAGAGGCAUGGGAAUGCAGCUCCAUGUGAAGGCCGAGUUCAGUCCCAGUACUGAAGAAAAAAACUAGAUUCCACCAAGAGUGGAAACAUUUGUGACAAAUACGAAAGCAUGUACCAUAGUGGGCACACGGAAGGAGAAACAAGACGCAUGUGCAGUCCUGGCUGAAAAUGUACGGCCUGUGCACUGGUCACCGCCUUGUAAAGCAGCCUGCUGGGCUCAUUUUUGUGGUAAGAUUUGUAAGAAAUACCAUCAAGCUCCUGCCAGGUGUGGUGGCGGACGCCUGGAGUCCCAGCAACUCAGGAGGCUGAGGCAGGAAGAUCACUGUAAAUUCCAGGCCAGCCUGAACUACAUGGUGAGUUCAAGGCCAGCCCGACUGACCUCCACCCCAAAUAACUCAUAAAUAAAAUCAUCCAUCUCCGUAAAAUGUUCGUGGUACCUGUCUCGCCCCCGCAGCUCGCUUCUGAGAAGCCAUCCUUGAAAGUAAUUCCGAAGGGCUGGGCCGACACUCUCCCGGGACACUCUCCCGGCUGCCCUGGCGGCGGGGUUGAGCCUCUGCACCCGCCGCGCGGGGUGCGUUUCUUCCGCAGCGUCUGCAGAGCAUGCGGGGUCCUGGACAAGACUCCCAAGAGCGUCUUCGGGGAGCCAGCGACCCUGAUAGGGACCAGACAACCAUCCCACCACCACGGUGAGCCAUUCUGCACACUGACGAUGUCCGCACGGAAUCUGUGCUGAUCCCGACAGAGAAAUCUGUGAAAGAUUGGAAAUGACAAGAGGAGAGGCUGGAUCACAGACCCACGUGCUCUGCCUUGCAGCCCGUAGGGGUUCCCCACGUCAACCUCAAUUACCGCGGGUGGCUGACACGGACUCUGCCUUGCAGAUGGGCCCCGAUCGAGACCUGACGCCAGGGCAGGGCCUGCACAGGAUGCGACUGUCUGGCUCCUCCCGCCUUGGAGAAUUCUGAAAACAGAGGUGGGUGUUGGUUGAAUUGCAAGCUGAGAGGCAUAGUUAUCAAAAAUGGGGUAUAUAUUUGAAACUAUUAAGCUGGGGAUGUAGCUCAGUGGUGCCCGCGCCUGCCCCACAAGUGCAAGGAUCCCGAGUUCGAGCCCUGGUACCCCCCAAAAACAAAAAAAGCCUUUAUGGGCCGGGGAUUUAGCUCAGUCUGGAAAGCGCAAAGGUCCCGAGUUUGAUCGCGGUACCCAAAAAAAAAAAAAAAAGAAAGAAAAACUUACAGGGCCAGGGAUGGAGCUCAGCUCAGUGCAAGAUCCUAGGUUCAAUUCCUGGUACCAGAAAAGGAGAAGAAAAUUGUAAUCAGCGUGCCUUUAGAAAAGGGAUUUUAAGAAUUGUUUCAAUUUUUAAGCCUGGAACUUAAGUGUACACUGCACCUAGACGUUUAUUUCUCACCCCCAAAUUGCUCUUAUCUAUGUCUGUUGCCGACUUUUAUUUUCUACAGUCUUAAUAUGUUUGUGGGGAAGUGUCUCAAAAAUUAUGAUGGAAAGUACAGCCAAAUCAAAAUUGGUAAUUAUGAGCAUGUAUAAUAGUACUUUGAGCAUAUUAUAUCUAUAAUAUAUGUAUUUAAUGUAUCCCAGCAUUUUAAUGUAUU
rnacentral:lncRNA from 1 species